CUGUGAUAUACCUGGCCAGAAGAAGUUCUGGGUCAGCCUGUGCUUAGUGCGGCUGAUUCCUAAGUGCCCAGACUAUCAUGGGAAAAUGAUAGUCAUGGGGAAUAUCAUGGGCGAUGCGUAACAAUUCUAAUCUAUAUUUCCGGGGAACAAUUAGCUGUUUAAUGGGUAGAGGAAUGGAUCCAGCUACUACCUUCUCUGCGUGGCGGUAAAGUAGCCCCUUGUCCCAGGUGUACCUUUCCCCUUCUAGCCCUGCCUGGUCCAU